rnacentral:tRNA from 1 species
GCUCCUGUAGAGUAGUAGUUAACUCAUUUCCCUCCCAUUGAACCUCCUUGUUAGGAGAAACGAAGGAAGGAAGGAAAGGACCCGGGUGCAAAUCCCGGCAGGUGCA